AACGAACGCUGGCGGCAUGCCUAACACAUGCAAGUCGAACGAGACCUUCGGGUCUAGUGGCGCAUGGGUGCGUAACGCGUGGGAACCUGCCCUUAGGUUCGGAAUAACUCCCCGAAAGGGGUGCUAAUACCGGAUAAUGUCUUCGGACCAAAGAUUUAUCGCCUUUGGAUGGGCCCGCGUUGGAUUAGCUAGUUGGUAGGGUAAAAGCCUACCAAGGCGACAAUCCAUAGCUGGUCUGAGAGGAUGAUCAGCCACACUGGGACUGAGACACGGCCCAGACUCCUACGGGAGGCAGCAGUGGGGAAUAUUGGACAAUGGGCGAAAGCCUGAUCCAGCAAUGCCGCGUGAGUGAUGAAGGCCUUAGGGUUGUAAAGCUCUUUUACCCGGGAUGAUAAUGACAGUACCGGGAGAAUAAGCUCCGGCUAACUCCGUG
rnacentral:rRNA from 1 species